GGCCUCGUGGCCCAAUGGCAAGGCGUCUGACUACGAUUGAGAAAUUCUAUUAUGAAUCUUGUGUUUAAUCAGGAGAUUCUGGGUUUGACCCCCAGCGAGGUCA